GGAAGGGGUGUAUUUAUUAGAUUAAAAACCAAUGCCCUUCGGGGCUCCCUGGUGAUUCAUAAUAACUUCUCGAAUCGCACGGCCUUGCGCCGGCGAUGGUUCAUUCAAAUUUCUGCCCUAUCAACUUUCGACGGCAGGGUCUUGGCCUGCCAUGGUGACAACGGGUAACGGAGGGUUAGGGCUCGACCCCGGAGAAGGAGCCUGAGAAACGGCUACUACAUCCAAGGAAGGCAGCAGGCGCGCAAAUUACCCAAUCCCGACACGGGGAGGUAGUGACAAUAAAUACUGAUACAGGGCUCUUUUGGGUCUUGUAAUCGGAAUGAGUACAAUUUAAAUCCCUUAACGAGGAACAAUUGGAGGGCAAGUCUGGUGCCAGCAGCCGCGGUAAUUCCAGCUCCAAUAGCGUAUAUUAAAGUUGUUGUGGUUAAAAAGCUCGUAGUUGAACCUUGGGCCUGGCUGGCCGGUCCCCCUCACCGGGUGCACUGAUCCAGCCGGGCCUUUCCCUCUGUGGAACCUCAUGGUCUUCACUGACUGUGUUGGGGAACCAGGACUUUUAC
rnacentral:rRNA from 1 species